ACUGCGUGGGAGCCGGAAGGGGGAUGAAAGCACGCACACCCGGCUCCCACCCACCGCCUGAGGAGCGGGGCCAGGUGCAGGCGCUUGGGGAAGAGAGCCCGUGACCUCGUGCCACCUCUCCGAACUUCUCCCCCUGCUGUUGGGAUCCGAGGCUCCAACAUCUCUCCCCGGAAUGGAAGGAUGGAGGUGGGGUUCUAAAAUUCCCUCCCAGGCCUCUGAAUACAGAAGGCGCAAAAAGAACAGGAGCUACGCACAUACCAGGAAAAAUCAACUUCUUCCCAGAUACUCGACUGCAAAGGAUACCUCAGAGUCCGGCUUUCCCAAGAAGCCUUCUUACAUUCAACCUUGCAAAGCAGAGAAAUUCUACAAACAUUGUACACGGAGUACAAGCACUUCAAGUCACAUAUUUGCAUUUACUUUUUUUUAAAAUCUAGUUUCUUUGAAUGAGAUCUUUUUUUUGCAAAAUCGUCACAUUAAAAUCCGGGAUUCUGCUCUUCACAUUUGAAGGAGCAAUGUCCUCUACAAAUCCCAGAUCACACCUGUGCCUUGUAUUUUUAUGAACCACCUCUCAUGGCCCUGUGGGACCACUAUUAAAAAUUAUUAUACAUAUUUUGUCCCUAUGUGUACAGAGUUAGCAAUGUAAGAUGAGUACUGACUAAGGGAGGAACAAAGUAAAGAAUUUGAUGACCAUUUUCACCACUUGCCCUGCAGCUUCGCUGUCCUUGCCUGGAGCUGUCAGAGGAAUAGGGGAGAGAGUUCAAAGGCAUCGGUGUUGGAGACUGAACUCUGAUUUUCUGGCCAAUAUGUCUAACUCCCUAGAGUUAAAGGAUCACAUAGUUGAAUGAGGACUAAAGGACGGGAUGUAAAUGAGGACAUCUCAGGGCUGUAUCACCCAAUCAAGACAUUAGUGCACAUCUGGGAAUUUAUUUACUUAUGUUGAAAUUUGGAGAAAGCCUUACACGCCACAAACUAGAAAGUCAUUCAUUCAUCCAGGGGUUGUAACUAAAUAUUUACACAUCUUGAGAAAUCCCUAAAAUUUUGCAGUUGAAGUUAAAGUCUAUUAUACUUUUUAAUUAGGAUUUAGGGAUAAUAGGAGAAAUCAUAGAAUUAGUAUUUGCAUUAUACGAAAAAGAUGGGGAGGCCUUGAAACUAUUUUCCCAGGAAUCCAGGGAGCCAUGUUCAAUGUCAACAUUCCUCCUCAUACAACUGAAAGACAACUGAUGGAGAGCUGGAAAAUGCCAAGGAACUGAGAUUCUUGAUCAGCUUGAAAAGCAAGACUUGGGUAAAUGGCAUUGUGAGAUAGAUUUGCAUUAAGUGUUUAAAGACAAACACACUUAUCUGAUUAAUGUUGGUCAUCCUUCCUAGACUGUAAUUUCCACAAGGGCAAGGCUUGUGUCUGUUUUGCACAUGACUGCUUCAUUCUUGCUUGGAACAGUCCUUGUCACCUGAUAGGCCCUCAAAAAUAUUUGAUGGAUGGAUGGAUGAAUAAAUGAGUUCAUGCUUUCC